rnacentral:rRNA from 1 species
GUCUAAGGCCAUACCACCUGGAACUUUCCCAAUCUCAUCUUGUCUUGGUAGCUAAGCAGGGUCAGGCCCAGUUAGUAUUUGAAUGGGAGAGAGAUCUUCAGAAAAUACUACUCAGACAAACAGUUUGCAGACA